AGCUUCGCGCAGUGGCAGUAUCGUAGCCAAUGAGGUUUAUCCGAGGCGCGAUUAUUGCUAAUUAAAAGGCCGUGUUCCUCAACUGCUCUGCUGCUAGAAUGCUAGAAAGCAGGGCGUGGGCGUAAGAUACUUUGCUGGACAGAUAUUUUUAUU
rnacentral:snRNA from 1 species